AUUGAACGCUGGCGGCAGGCCUAACACAUGCAAGUCGAACGGUAACAGGAAGCAGCUUGCUGCUUCGCUGACGAGUGGCGGACGGGGGGGUAAUGUCUGGGAAGCUGCCUGAUGGAGGGGGAUAACUACUGGAAACGGUAGCUAAUACCGCAUAAUGUCGCAAGACCAAAGAGGGGGACCUUCGGGCCUCUUGCCAUCGGAUGUGCCCAGAUGGGAUUAGCUUGUUGGUGGGGUAACGGCUCACCAAGGCGACGAUCCCUAGCUGGUCUGAGAGGAUGACCAGCCACACUGGAACUGAGACACGGUCCAGACUCCUACGGGAGGCAGCAGUGGGGAAUAUUGCACAAUGGGCGCAAGCCUGAUGCAGCCAUGCCGCGUGUAUGAAGAAGGCCUUCGGGUUGUAAAGUACUUUCAGCGGGGAGGAAGGGAGUAAAGUUAAUACCUUUGCUCAUUGACGUUACCCGCAGAAGAAGCACCGGCUAACUCCGUG
rnacentral:rRNA from 1 species